CAGCAUCUUUGUGGAGACUCUAUGAAAUUGAAACACCAGCUUUGCAAAGGUUGGCCACAAGAAUCCUUUCUUUGACAUCAAGCUCAUUUGCUUGUGAAAGAAAUUGGAGUACUUUCGAACUGGUACACACUAAGAAAAGAAAUAGGCUUACUACAACCCGCCUCAACAAGCUAGUCUUCAUUCAAUUCAAUUCUAAGAUGAUGAGUAAGAAACAAAAAAUAAAAUCAAAGAAAAUUGAUGAUGUCCUCCUGUCCAGCGACACAUCUGAAGCUCAAGGUUUCCUGCAUGAGGAUGGAGAUUCUUGUGCAUUAAUUGUCUAUAGGGAUGAGGAUGAAGAGGAUGUGAUGCCCGGUACUGGAAUACAAUGGUCUGUUCUUGGAGAUGCUAUGGGAGCAGAAGAACAACUUGAGCUACGUAGAAGUACAAGAGUGAGACAGCUUUAUGAAGAAGAAGAAUUUGAAUCUGAAGAAGAGUUUGAUGAAGAUGAUGAUGAUUAUUGAAGACUAGAGAUGAUGUGGGCUAUGGCAGUGGGCUUUGCUUUGUCUUGUCAUCAUGUCAUGUUUUUAUUUAUGAACUUGUGUUGUGUCUGUUCCUGUUCCUUUUGCAUUGUGACCUGAACUCUGAAGUCUGAACUAGAACUCUAUUUAUGAAUUA